CUCAGAUUGAACGCGUGGCGGCAUGCCUUACACAUGCAAGUCGGAACGGCAGCGCGGGGCAACCUGGCGGCGAGUGGCGAACGGGUGAGUAACAUAUCGGAACAUACCCUAGAGUGGGGGAUAACGUAGCGAAAGUUACGCUAAUACCGCAUACGCACUAAGGGUGGAAAGUGGGGGAUUCGCAAGAACCUCAUGCUCAUGGAGUGGCCGAUAUCUGAUUAGCUAGUUGGUGAGGUAAAGGCUCACCAAGGCGACGAUCAGUAGCUGGUUUGAGAGAACGACCAGCCACACUGGAACUGAGACACGGUCCAGACUCCUACGGGAGGCAGCAGUGGGGAAUUUUGGACAAUGGGGGCAACCUGAUCCCAGCAAUGCCGCGUGAGUGAAGAAGGCCUUCGGGUUGUAAAGCUCUUUGUCAGGGAAGAAACGGUGAGUUCUAAUAAAGCUUGCUAAUGACGGUACCUGAAGAAUAAGCACCGGCUAACUACGUG
rnacentral:rRNA from 1 species